GACGAGCGCUGGCGGCGUGCUUAACACAUGCAAGUCGAACGGAAAGGCCCUGCUUUUGUGGGGUGCUCGAGUGGCGAACGGGUGAGUAACACGUGAGUAACCUGCCCUUGACUUUGGGAUAACUUCAGGAAACUGGGGCUAAUACCGGAUAGGAGCUCCUGCUGCAUGGUGGGGGUUGGAAAGUUUCGGCGGUUGGGGAUGGACUCGCGGCUUAUCAGCUUGUUGGUGGGGUAGUGGCUUACCAAGGCUUUGACGGGUAGCCGGCCUGAGAGGGUGACCGGCCACAUUGGGACUGAGAUACGGCCCAGACUCCUACGGGAGGCAGCAGUGGGGAAUAUUGCACAAUGGGCGGAAGCCUGAUGCAGCAAUGCCGCGUGCGGGAUGACGGCCUUCGGGUUGUAAACCGCUUUCGCCUGUGACGAAGCGUGAGUGACGGUAAUGGGUAAAGAAGCACCGGCUAACUACGUG
rnacentral:rRNA from 1 species